rnacentral:lncRNA from 1 species
UAAUACUAAUAAUAAAUUAAAAAUUAUAACUGAUUUUAUUAACCCAAGAAAACAUGAAACAACAGAUCAAUUAGAACAAAUUAAAAUAAUAAAAAAUGUUAAUAGCAAUAACAAUUACAACAUUAGUAGUAAUAAAGAAUUAUAUUUAAAUGUAAAUUUAAAAAAACAUUUGAAAUUAAUUAAAGACAUGUUUAUUAAUUUAUCACAAAACAGGAAGUUAAAAUAUGGUAACAAUAGCAACAACUACACAUUGACAAAUAGUUUAAUGUUUAUAAAUGAAGAAAAGAAUGGCCCUUGUCGAUUUAAUUGGUUCCAAAAUGAUUAUAUAUAUUUUUUAAAAAAUGAGGAAAAUAACGAAUAUUAUAUAUCCAACAUCAAUGGAAUGUAUGAACUGUUCAUUUUGGUAACAAAAGAAUUAAAGAUUUUUGAUUCAUACGACUUCACUUGGUUUUUAAAAAAAUACAAGUUAAUAACUAUGUCACUAGUUCGUAAAUAUAGAAAAGAGUUAAAGAAAAAGUAUGAAUUUAUAAAACAAAAUGUAAAGGAUAAAAAUGAAGAAGGUGUAUAUAAGAGUGUUUGUUUGCAUAACAAAAUAGAUAAUUGUACUGUUGAUAAUGGUUUUUAUGAUAUUCUUGGUAACAUCAUAAAUGAUAAGGACAUAUCAUCCUCAUGUAAUGAUAUAAAUAAAGAAGGAUAUGAGAAAAUAAAAGAACCAGUGUAUGACAUGGUUAUUAUAAAAAGUAUUGACGAAGUAAAUCCUCCUUCGCCAAUUGAAUUUACUUUUAGAUUAUUAAAAAGAUAUAUAGAAGAGAAGAAAAAGAAAAAAAGUGUGUUACAAUUAAUAAAAGAAAAUAUGAUUCAAUAUACAGUAGCGUUAAAUUUACGAAUUGAAAAAAUUAUAAAAAAAAGAGAUGAAGAAUAUAUACUAAUUUUAAGUGAUAAUUUUGAUUAUAUAUAUUGUUUCAUAAAAGAUAUUUAUUUAAUUAACUUAAUACUUUCAAAUGUAAUUAAAGAAAGUUAU